UGUUUGUGACCCCAGGAGUCCCUGCGCGCAGGCAUGGCGAGCCAGCAGCAGUCGGUUCCAUGCAUCUCGCGGUCGCCACCCGAACAGCCGCUUCAGGUGAAGGUGGUGGGGCUUUUCAAGAGCUCCAGCUUUCAGAUCGCUAAGAGCGCCGCUGAGAGUCUGAAGAGUAAUUAUCCAUCCAAAUUUGAAGAUCCUAUAAUAAUUCCUGUUCAAGAAUUUGCAUGGCAUCAAUAUCUGCAAGAGAAAAAAAGGUCAUUUUACCAAGCUGAUAUUAAGAAAAAGUAAAACACUUCCAGGAUUUUCUUUUGGAAGGCAAGCAAUAAAGGAACUCAAGAAUGAAGUCUGGGAAUAUUCUUCCUAUGUGAUGUGUUUUAUUAAUGAUAAGCUCCUGGGUGAUGCACUUGAUCUACAGAAAUGGGCCCACAAAGUAUGGGAUAUAGUUGAUUUUAAGCCUCCUGCACUUUAUGAAGCACUUACUGUAGAUUAUUCUGCCAAAUUCUUAAGAGACACCAAGGCAAGUUACGCUAAUUUUUUAAAAAAGGAAAAUAGUGGAAUCUUUGAGCGUUUAUAUUGAUUAAGCACUAAUUACUGAUAAACCUAGUAAAGGGAAUAUAAAAGGACUAGGUUAAGUUCUCAAUGAACUUGUGAUCUUUAGUUGCAAAGAACUGGUGGGGUUUGGCUCGGUGGUAUGUAAAGCCAGCCUAUCUCACAGCAGGUAGACGGCACAGGCGGAAGAAGCAUCCCUGAUGGAACAUUUCGACUCUCCACGAGAAGCUUAUGUGCGUUAAUUGGCAUCUAUUUAAAAAUAUUAAGACCUCCUCCCUCAGACAAAGUCAAACCUAUCCUUUACUCACUUGGAGCAUGAAAUAUUUUGAUUAGUAUGUUGUAACACCUAAGUGAGAGCUCCUGCACGGAGAGACUGGCAAGUCUGAGAAGAACGGUGACACCCAGGUGGCAGGAGGAGCAGCGAGCGAUGGCCCUGCCGGUUUCCAGUGGUAGAGGACGGUCAUGAAGCUUGAGGUCCAGAGAGCAAGAGACAGAGGUCAGGGUGGGAUGGGCCACCUCCGUGAGGCUGGUAAACGGAUGCAGUUUUGCUCAUGAACCUUGUUGCAGCAACAGCUGCCACAUGCUGAAAAUCAUGUCAUGCCCAUGGUGGCCUGUGCCUACAUAAAGACCCAGAGCUAGGAUCUGAGCCAUGCAAUGCCCAAGACCUUGUCUCAUUCACCCUUAUUCAACCACUGCCUUGAACAGAACCUGAAACAUAGGAGGUGCUCAGUGAAUAUUUUGUUGAAUAAACAGUACACUUGCAAAAUGCUCUAAACUCUAAGGCGUGGAGAGGAAUUUAACAUUCAGAGCAGUUCAUUCCCAAAGGGCCAAGAGUCUCAAACUACAUGGUGUGCUCUGGGGACGGCAGAGGACAGUAAGGCGGCCCGAAUGAGUGGGAAGGAGGCUGGGGAAAUGAGAGCAUCAGUCGGGAUUCUUGGUGCCAACGGUACCAAGCUGUUCUGAUUAACUUAAGGGGUAAAAGUAUGUACUGAGGGAUGUUGGUAAAUCCACAACUGACAGGAAGUUGGAGAGCCAGCUUUGGAAAGCAGGCAGGGACCAAGGGAGACCUGGCAGCAGGAAAACAUGGCCAGAGUCACGCCCCGGGCAAGUGCAGCCAGGGUGCUGCCAUGCGCGCCUGCUGUCCCUUGGGUCUCCCUGCCGCCUUCGCUGAGCAUGACUUCUCUGUUCUUCUUGGGUCUGUGCCGCUCCCCAGAGGUCGAAGGCCCCAGGCAGAAGCACCUGACCAGUCAAGCCCAGGUUAUGUGCCCACACCCUGGCUCUCACAUGGUGGGGAAAGACAGAAUGUUCUGCAGAGGCUGGUGCAACCCUGGGAGGAGUUUCCCAAAUAGGAAAGCUGCUUUCCUUUCCUGUUUUUUUGUUUUACAAAAACAAAAAACAGAAAACCUCCAAAACCAGAUCCACUAAGAAAAGGUUGAACUUACUGUCCACUCUUAACCAGGGAGUUUGAUUUUAUCUAGAAGAAAGCAGGCCAACAGAACUUUUCAUCAGAAGUAUGACAUAACCUUCUUUAGUGUUUUAGAAAAAAGUUCAGGGCUGAGGCCAAACAGGGUGGCGCAGGGAAAGCUUAAUGGCAGGGUGGCCAUUUGGAAAGCUGCUGGAGUAGUGUGGGCUAGAAAUAAUGGCAGCCUGAAUUAAUUAGUGGGUGAGGAAAGAGGACCCAGAUUCUAGAGAAAAUCCUUGGGUUUUUUGCCCAGAGGCUAGAUUUUUCAUGCUCAGUUAAACCCAGGGAGACUUGUUUACUUCUGGUUUGGAAUGAUAGAGUAGAUAAUUAGGUUUGGCUGAUAGGUGACAUUACCUUGUGUUAAAAGUCACUUUUUCUGUUUUCAUUAGGAUUUCUAAAAUUAUCUACACUUGACAACCACAUAAAGAUAAUAUAUUGAUGCCCAGGGAAGUUUAAUAAUCCCUGAAUGGACUCACGCAUUUUAGAAGUCAAUCAUAACUUCCAGUACGUCCUCUUUUUCCUCCUAAACCUGUGAAGCUUACCAUAUUAUGCCUCUUAAAGUUAUAAUAUUCUUUUAUAAUUAAGAACUUGUAAUACAGAAGGAGAGAGGCACAAACAUAAUCAUAAUUAUUAAUAGUAUGGAUAGAAAUACUUCAUUCCUGGAUACCAGGUAUUAUAAUACUAUCUUAGUCUUUAAUUUAAAAAAGAGCUUG